CUGCUAUCAGCAAAGUUACCUAAAGAAGUACAGUACUGAGACAGCUGAAUCCACCCACUCCUCUCUCCCUGUCUUACCUUGGGCCACAUUUCCAAAAUCAGUCUGUCAACACAGCAUAUGAGAGUUACUUAUAGCCAUGGAACAACAACCUCAACCUUGUGGUUGUCUGUCUUUUAAGUGAGACCAUAUUUUUGGCACAGCAGCAAUUAAAAAUUUUAAGAUUAAAUUUGUUAAUCAUUUUAAUUCUGUGACUUCCUUCACUACUUUGAUUUUAUAAUAUUUUCUUCUUGCUGAAAUUUGAUAUUUACUUUUGUUUCUUUUUUAUAUUUUG
rnacentral:lncRNA from 1 species